GCUGGGUGUGGUGAUGCACACUUAUAAUCCCAGCAGCUCAGGAGGCUGAGGCAGGAAGAUUUUGAGUUCAAAUCCAGCCUCAACAAUUUAGUGAGGUACUGAGCAACUCAGCAAGACCCUGUCUCUA
rnacentral:sRNA from 1 species